UACGGAGGGAGCUAGCGUUGUUCGGAAUUACUGGGCGUAAAGCGCACGUAGGCGGCUUUGUAAGUUAGAGGUGAAAGCCCGGGGCUCAACUCCGGAACUGCCUUUAAGACUGCAUCGCUUGAAUCCAGGAGAGGUGAGUGGAAUUCCGAGUGUAGAGGUGAAAUUCGUAGAUAUUCGGAAGAACACCAGUGGCGAAGGCGGGUUGCUGGGCCGACACUGACGCUGAUGCGCGAAAGCCAGGGGAGCGAACGGG
rnacentral:rRNA from 1 species